CUGUUGGUUGGUUGGUCUGUUGGUUGGUUGGUUGGUUUGCGCCAACUUUAACAUUUCGCAAUAACUUUUGCUAUAUUGAAGAUAGCAACUUCAUAUUUGGCAUGCAUGUGUAUCUCAUGGAGCUGCACAUUUUGAGUGGUGAAAGGUCAAGGUCAUCCUUCAAGGUCAGAGGUCAAAUAUAUGUGGCCAAAAUCGCUUAUUUUAUGAAUACUUUUGCAAUAUUGAAGAUAGCAACUUGAUAUUUGGCAUGCAUGUGUAUCUCAUGGAGCUGCACAUUUUGAGUGGUGAAAGGUCAAGGUCAAGGUCAUCCUUCAAGGUCAGAGGUCAAAUAUAUGUGGCCCAAAUCGCUUAUUUUAUUAAUACUUUUGCAAUAUUGAAGAUAGCAACUUGAUAUUUGGCAUGCAUGUGUAUCUCAUGGAGCUGCACAUUUUGAGUGGUGAAAGGUCAAGGUCAUCCUUCACAAGGUCAAGGUCAUCCUACAAUGUCAAACAUCAUAUAGGGGGACAUUGUGUUUCACAAACACAUCUUGUUU